GUCCUUGUAGCGCAAUGGAAAGCGCGUUGGACUUCUGGGCCAAGAGUCGUGGGUUCGAAUCCCACCUGGGAUG